rnacentral:rRNA from 1 species
ACGAACGCUGGCGGCGUGCUUAACACAUGCCAGUCGAACGGAAAGGCCCUGCUUUUGUGGGGUGCUCGAGUGGCGAACGGGUGAGUAACACGUGAGUAACCUGCCCUUGACUUUGGGAUAACUUCAGGAAACUGGGGCUAAUACCGGAUAGGAGCUCCUGCUGCAUGGUGGGGGUUGGAAAGUUUCGGCGGUUGGGGAUGGACUCGCGGCUUAUCAGCUUGUUGGUGGGGUAGUGGCUUACCAAGGCUUUGACGGGUAGCCGGCCUGAGAGGGUGACCGGCCACAUUGGGACUGAGAUACGGCCCAGACUCCUACGGAAGGCAGCAGUGGGGAAUAUUGCACAAUGGGCGGAAGCCUGAUGCAGCAACGCCGCGUGCGGGAUGACGGCCUUCGGGCUGUAAACCGCUUUCGCCUGUGACGAAGCGUGAGUGACGGUAAUGGGUAAAGAAGCACCGGCUAACUACGUG